rnacentral:misc_RNA from 1 species
CCGUUUCUCAUUGCCGCCCACCCCAUCGCGAUGCGGCUACCACCUGGCGCAUAAAAGCAACGCUCACGUGAGAGAGCGAGCGAGCAACUAGCGCGCCUGCGCUGGAUUCCACCGGAUUCAGAGGAGCGCAUCACCUGCUCCUGUUGUGAAGGAAGUGAUCCGCGGAGGGCAUGCUGCCGUGCCUCACCGGAACGCACUCGUCCCUAUAUUUCGUGACAGGCGCAUACACGCGCGAAACACACCCCGCCAUGCUCGUCCCUGUUGAGCUCCUCAGCGCGGAUGUGGUCUGCACGCCACACCAACCGCCGCUGCAGCCAAGACCGGCUGCACUGCGAGGGACGUUGUUUGCUGCUCUUAUCGCUUCAUCUUAUGCAUUUCUCCUCGCCCGGUAGCUUGCGCGACACGGCUUCAAAACGAACCCGAGGACUCUAAAGAAGAAGCAGCUGCGUAUCCAACCUCUGGCGCGUUACUGGUGGGUGGGAGCAUGAUUCCUGGUGCACCGUGGCGCGUGGCGAACGCCCACACGCAGCCUCCGGCAUACACACGCAUUUCUGCAUGCGGGUAGGUCACGUUUCGGCAGCAUGUGACGCGCCGCAUUGCACUUUCACCGGGCCCCACAUCUCGUGUGCCCACGAUUCCGUCCCCAUCUCUCUCCCCCAUCCUUCACUUCGGAGUCUCUCUCACUCUCGCUAUUCAUCACCCCCACCCCCACGCCCUCUGCACACGCAAAACGCAG